GACGAACGCUGGCGGCGUGCUUAACACAUGCAAGUCGAACGGACAGGCCCUACUUUUGUGGCGUUCUCGAUUGGCGAACGGGUGAGUAACACGUGAGUAUCAUGCCCUUGACUUUCGGGUAAAUUCAGGGAACUGGGGCUCAUACCGGAUAGGAUCUCCUGCUGCACGGUGUUGGUUGGAAAGAUUCGGCGGUGGUGGCUGGAUUCGAGGCUUAUCAGCUUGUUGGUGUGGUAGUUGAUUACCAAGCGUUUGACGGCUAGCCUGCCUGAGAGGCUGAACGGCGACAAUGGGACUGAGAGAGGGAGCAGUAUCCUAUGGGAGGCAGCAGUGGGGAAUAUUGCAGAAUGGGCGGAAGCCUGAUGCAGCAACGCUCGGUGCGUGAUGACGGCUUAUGGGUUGUAAACCGCUUUCGCCGGUGAUGAAGCGUGAGUGACGGUAAUGGGUAAAGAAGCACCGGCUAACUACGUG
rnacentral:rRNA from 1 species